rnacentral:rRNA from 1 species
CCUACGGGCGGCAGCAGUGGGGAAUAUUGCACAAUGGGCGAAAGCCUGAUGCAGCAACGCCGCGUGAGGGAAGAAGGGUUUCGGCUCGUAAACUUCUAUCAACAGGGACGAAAGAAAUGACGGUACCUGAAGAAGAAGCCCCGGCUAACUACCUGCCAGCAGCCGCGGUAAGACGUAGGGGGCAAGCGUUAUCCGGAAUUACUGGGUGUAAAGGGUGAGUAGGCGGCAUGGUAAGCCAGAUGUGAAAGCCCUGGGCUUAACCCGAGGAUUGCAUUUGGAACUAUCUAGCUAGAGUAUCGGAGAGGAAAGCGGAAUUCCUAGUGUAGCGGUGAAAUGCGUAGAUAUUAGGAAGAACACCAGUGGCGAAGGCGGCUUUCUGGACUGAAACUGACGCUGAGGCACGAAAGCGUGGGGAGCGAACAGGAUUAGAUACCCUAGUAGUC